GAUGAAGAAGGCAGCGAAAUGCGAUAAGUGAUGUGAAUUGCAGAAUUCAGUGAAUCAUCGAAUCUUUGAACGCACAUUGCGCCCGCCAGUAUUCUGGCGGGCAUGCCUGUCUGAGCGUCAUUUCAACCCUCAUGCCCCUAGGGCGUGGUGUUGGGGAUCGGCCAAAGCCCGCGAGGGACGGCCGGCCCCUAAAUCUAGUGGCGGACCCGUCGUGGCCUCCUCUGCGAAGUAGUGAUAUUCCGCAUCGGAGAGCGAUGAGCCCCUGCCGUUAAACCCCCAACUUUCCAAGGUUGACCUCAGAUCAGGUAGGAAUACCCGCUGAACUUAAGCAUAUCAAUAAGCGGAGGA
rnacentral:misc_RNA from 1 species